rnacentral:rRNA from 1 species
UACGGGGGGGGCAAGCGUUGUUCGGAAUUACUGGGCGUAAAGGGCUCGUAGGCGGCCAACUAAGUCAGACGUGAAAUCCCUCAGCUUAACUGGGGAACUGCGUCUGAUACUGGAUGGCUUGGAUCCGGGAGAGGGAUGCGGAAUUCCAGGUGUAGCGGUGAAAUGCGUAGAUAUCUGGAGGAACACCGGUGGCGAAGGCGGCAUCCUGGACAGGUAUUGACGUUGAGGAGCGAAAGCAAGGGGAGCAACCGGG